rnacentral:rRNA from 1 species
AGAGUUUGAUCCUGGCUCAGGAUGAACGCUGGCGGCGUGCUUAACACAUGCAAGUCGAACGGGAUCCAUCAAGCUUGCUUGGUGGUGAGAGUGGCGAACGGGUGAGUAAUGCGUGACCGACCUGCCCCAUACACCGGAAUAGCUCCUGGAAACGGGUGGUAAUGCCGGAUGUUCCAGUUGAUCGCAUGGUCUUCUGGGAAAGCUUUCGCGGUAUGGGAUGGGGUCGCGUCCUAUCAGCUUGACGGCGGGGUAACGGCCCACCGUGGCUUCGACGGGUAGCCGGCCUGAGAGGGCGACCGGCCACAUUGGGACUGAGAUACGGCCCAGACUCCUACGGGAGGCAGCAGUGGGGAAUAUUGCACAAUGGGCGCAAGCCUGAUGCAGCGACGCCGCGUGAGGGAUGGAGGCCUUCGGGUUGUAAACCUCUUUUAUCGGGGAGCAAGCGAGAGUGAGUUUACCCGUUGAAUAAGCACCGGCUAACUACGUGCCAGCAGCCGCGGUAAUACGGAAGGUCCAGGCGUUAUCCGGAUUUAUUGGGUUUAAAGGGAGCGCAGGCGGACUCUUAAGUCAGUUGUGAAAUACGGCGGCUCAACCGUCGGACUGCAGUUGAUACUGGGAGUCUUGAGUGCACACAGGGAUGCUGGAAUUCAUGGUGUAGCGGUGAAAUGCUCAGAUAUCAUGAAGAACUCCGAUCGCGAAGGCAGGUAUCCGGGGUGCAACUGACGCUGAGGCUCGAAAGUGCGGGUAUCAAACAGGAUUAGAUACCCUGGUAGUCCGCACAGUAAACGAUGAAUACUCGCGGUUGGCGAUACACAGUCAGCCGCCAAGCGAAAGCGUUAAGUAUUCCACCUGGGGAGUACGCCGGCAACGGUGAAACUCAAAGGAAUUGACGGGGG